UACGAAGGGGGCUAGCGUUGCUCGGAAUCACUGGGCGUAAAGCGCACGUAGGCGGAUUGUUAAGUCAGGGGUGAAAUCCUGGAGCUCAACUCCAGAACUGCCUUUGAUACUGGCAAUCUCGAGUUCGGGAGAGGUGAGUGGAACUGCGAGUGUAGAGGUGAAAUUCGUAGAUAUUCGCAAGAACACCAGUGGCGAAGGCGGCCAACUGGUCCGAUACUGACGCUGAGGCGCGAAAGCGUGGGGAGCAAACAGG
rnacentral:rRNA from 1 species